rnacentral:rRNA from 1 species
GUGGGGAAUAUUGGACAAUGGGCGAAAGCCUGAUCCAGCCAUGCCGCGUGUGUGAAGAAGGUCUUCGGAUUGUAAAGCACUUUAAGUUGGGAGGAAGGGCAGUAAGUUAAUACCUUGCUGUUUUGACGUUACCGACAGAAUAAGCACCGGCUAACUUCGUGCCAGCAGCCGCGGUAAUACGAAGGGUGCAAGCGUUAAUCGGAAUUACUGGGCGUAAAGCGCGCGUAGGUGGUUUUGUAAGUUGGAGUUGAAAUCCCCGGGCUCAACCUGGGAACUGCCUCCAAAACUGCAUGACUAGAGUACGGUAGAGGGUAGUGGAAUUUCCUGUGUAGCGGUGAAAUGCGUAGAUAUAGGAAGGAACACCAGUGGCGAAGGCGACUACCUGGACUGAUACUGACACUGAGGUGCGAAAGCGUGGGGAGCAAACAGGAUUAGAAACCCCAGUAGUCC